rnacentral:lncRNA from 1 species
AAUUUAUAAACGGGUAAUUUCAAGAGCUAAUUUCUAAAUCUUUGACCGUGUUUCAGAAUCUGGGCGGCUGGAAUUCGACGAGUUCGUAACGUUGGCGGCUAAGUUCAUCGUUGAGGAGGACGAUGAGCAUGCAGAAGGAACUGAUAGAAGCCUUCCGACUCUACGACAAGGAGGGCAACGGUUACAUCCCGACCUCCUGCCUCAAAGAAAUCCUCCUGAGCUGGACGACCAACUCAACCAACGAAGAAUAGACAUGAUGAUCGACGAAAUCGAUUCCGACGGCUCUGGAACAGUCGAUUUUCGAUGAAUUCAUGGAGAUGAUGACUGGAGAAUAAGCGUCACUUUCAAGAAGGAGAGGUGACAAUCAUCAACCAACCAACCGACAGCCUCCACAACUUGCAAAUUCUUGGAACUUUACUUCACUCCGAUGGCUUCCGCAUAAUGUCUGCUCGCGAACAAAUCCUGCCAUUUCGGCGUACAACCUCCAAACCCAAUAUCAUUCUGCUCAACUGCACUAGUUCGUUCCUCAUUCUACGGGUUGAAAUUUUAAACACAGACUUCAUGAUGCUGAGAAUUUUCAGACGACUUCUGAGAAUAUCAAACCUGAAGAGCACCAUUUCCCUUCGUAUGUGAAAGCCUCAAAGGCUUCGCGAAGUCCUACCUCACACUAAUCGCAUGAAUUUAUUGGGUAUUCACGUGAACUUGGCAAAAGCACAAGUGGUCACUCAAUCUAAUGACGAGCUCCUGGCAGUUCAUCUUGCGGGACGGACGGAAACAUUUCACCUCAUUAAACUUGCCCUCUUUUCCAUUGUAAUAUACCUCGUCCCAUUCAUCGCCCCCACCCGAUCGCAUAUUAAUACCACCUAUUUAAUUGUUUAAUCUAUUAUUUAUUUUCUUAUUUAUUCAAAUAUUUUUCUACUUAAACUUUUAUCUCGUUAUUUUUUGUGUAUGUCUGUUCAUUUACAAAUAUACAUGAAGAGUUUUGACAUCAUUGCGUAGCAUUUAAUUCAUCUCUCGGCAUAGAUUUCGUAUGAAUUAUGCCUUUUCCCGACAUUGCCUGUAUUAUUUAGCAAAAGUAGGUACUUUGCACCCAUGUGAACUUUGAGAAAUCUCUUUUGGUGAAAAUGUAGAUACGUUGUUUUUAAUCUAGAGCAUCCAACUGAAAAAGAAAUCUCGCUUAAGCGUAUAUAUGUACUCGAAUCAGUGCAAAUGCGGAAACGACCCAUAUUUCAAAACUGAACAAUUUCAGCCAUUGGUUUCAAAGCUUGAAAUGAAUUUGAAGAGUCAAACGCAAUUCUUCUUUUAUUGAAAUUUAACUGUCAUAUAUUAAAAAAAAGAGUAAAAAUUUACAACUUCCUGAUUGCUGCUGAACGAUACCCAAAUUUAGAGCUUCCUCCAGUCAUGUUUUGUUCACGAUAAAAAUCCAAUUUUCUUUUCAUUUUUCGGCUUUUUGCAUUUUGAUCCAUUUCUUGAACCUCAUUACAAGCUCUAUAACUUCAUUAAAUGAACUUUACGGUUAUGUCCGGUUUUAUCGUUUCAUGCUGAUUUUUUUCUUACUGAGCGAACAUUAUUUUUCUUCAUGCACACAUUAUUCGGCAAUAGUUCUGUGAGGUUGUCACUACUUUCCGGAUAACUUGGUGAGAGAAAAUUGCCAUCCAAUUAUUUAAUGCACAAAAAUAUUGGCGCUUGACUAAGGCUCUUCCUCGUUCUGUGACAGAUUUGAUCUUUGUCACAUAAUCCUCUCAUUCCGAUUUUUCAUUCCGCUUCUAAUAUGAAAUGUCAAACUUGAUAAUUGAAUUUCAGGAAGAUUCUAAGAUCAAAUGCCUGGCAUUGGGUGGGAAUUUUGGCAGCCCGCUCUUGGCACAUGGGGGCAGUAGUUGCCAGAACUCGGUUUUCUCCUCGCGUU